AUACAGCCUCGCCGGAGAAGCGCCGUGGGAGGCGCUGAAGUUCUCCAACCCGUCGCGAAGUAAUUCCGUUCCUUCGAUGGUGACCCCGGGGGUUCCUGCAAAGGGGGAAUGGCUCCCUGGUGGCGUUCCCUCCCGCUCGGGCCACUACAUGAACACUGUUGGAGGUCCCGGGAUGCCACCACACAGCUCCAUGUUGAAGCAGGACCGAGUGCUUCCCCUCGCACUGUGCUGACGGUGCCUUGAGCACUAAACCCUCCAUACUGUGUUGCACUGAUCUCCAUUUCUGAUGCAUGCAAAGAUGCCUUCUGACAAGUUUUCCACCCUGUGGAGCAUCUCAUAAAGGCCCUUUCAGUGCUAUGUUAUCCUGUCCCUAUGGACGAUUUGUUUCUUCCGUGGUGCUGCACACAAUCGCUAUGGCUGGUAUGACCUUGUUUGCAUGUAGGCAGCUGCCUAGGUGCAACAAGUGGCUGUGGCUCAGCUGUGCCUUCCCUCAUCGUGCAAGUGAUCAACCCCCUGACAUCAGCCAGAGCACUCCAAUGGGAAUGGGAUGCAAAACCACGCACCCCACAUCUACCUGUCACGCUGUCUUUUCUUGCCACAGAAUAAAUGAAAGGGGUUAUU
rnacentral:lncRNA from 7 species